GGCGGCGUGCUAUACAUGCAAGUCGAACGCACAGCGAAAGGUGCUUGCACCUUUCAAGUGAGUGGCGAACGGGUGAGUAACACGUGGACAACCUGCCUCAAGGCUGGGGAUAACAUUUGGAAACAGAUGCUAAUACCGAAUGAAACUUAGUGUCGCAUGAUACGAAGUUAAAAGGCGCUUUGGCGUCACCUAGAGAUGGAUCCGCGGUGCAUUAGUUAGUUGGUGGGGUAAAGGCCUACCAAGACAAUGAUGCAUAGCCGAGUUGAGAGACUGAUCGGCCACAUUGGGACUGAGACACGGCCCAAACUCCUACGGGAGGCUGCAGUAGGGAAUCUUCCACAAUGGGCGAAAGCCUGAUGGAGCAACGCCGCGUGUGUGAUGAAGGCUUUCGGGUCGUAAAGCACUGUUGUAUGGGAAGAACAGCUAGAAUAGGGAAUGAUUUUAGUUUGACGGUACCAUACCAGAAAGGGACGGCUAAAUACGUGCCAGCAGCCGCGGUAAUACGUAUGUCCCGAGCGUUAUCCGGAUUUAUUGGGCGUAAAGCGAGCGCAGACGGUUGAUUAAGUCUGAUGUGAAAGCCCGGAGCUCAACUCCGGAAUGGCAUUGGAAACUGGUUAACUUGAGUGCAGUAGAGGUAAGUGGAACUCCAUGUGUAGCGGUGGAAUGCGUAGAUAUAUGGAAGAACACCAGUGGCGAAGGCGGCUUACUGGACUGUAACUGACGUUGAGGCUCGAAAGUGUGGGUAGCAAACAGGAUUAGAUACCCUGGUAGUCCACACCGUAAACGAUGAACACUAGGUGUUAGGAGGUUUCCGCCUCUUAGUGCCGAAGCUAACGCAUUAAGUGUUCCGCCUGGGGAGUACGACCGCAAGGUUGAAACUCAAAGGAAUUGACGGGGACCCGCACAAGCGGUGGAGCAUGUGGUUUAAUUCGAAGCAACGCGAAGAACCUUACCAGGUCUUGACAUCCUUUGAAGCU
rnacentral:rRNA from 1 species